GCGCCCGUAGUGAAAUGGAUAUCAUAACUGCCUUCGAAGCAGUCGUUGCGGGUUCGAAUCCUGCCGGGCGCG
rnacentral:tRNA from 1 species